rnacentral:lncRNA from 1 species
GGAUCUGGAAGCAAAAGUUGAAUUUGAUCUGAAUGAAGGCUUUAUUUCUGAUGAUGGGAAAUAUGGGGAGUCGAGUGACUUGAGAGCACCUGGAUGCUCUUCUGCGAUUCAGCUAGUUAGCCCUUUGCCCUUACCUGUUUCUUCUGUGUCUAGUGGGCUUCCUGCUUCCAUUACAGUAGCUGCCGCUGCAAAAGGGCCCUUUGUUCCACCAGAGGAUUUACUUAAGAGUAGACGGGAGCUUGGUUGGAAGGGAUCGGCAGCCACAAGUGCAUUUCGGCCAGCUGAACCUAGAAAAGCUUUGGAGAUUCCAUUAGGUACAGCUAAUAUCUCACUACCUGAUGCAAUGGUUUCCAAGCCUGGUCGCCCCCUGUUAGAUAUUGACUUGAAUGUUCCUGAUGAAAGAAUCCUUGAGGAUUUGGCUUCACGAAGUUCUGCUCAGGAGGCAGUUUCUGUUUCUGACCUUGCAAAGAACAAUGAUUGUGCACGUGAUGCACUGAUGGGUUCAAUAUCUGUUCGAAGCUCUGGGGGACUUGAUCUUGAUUUGAAUAGAGCAGAUGAAGCUAGUGAUAUUGGUAAUCACUUAACAAGCAUUGGCCGGAGGCUGGAUGCCCCACUACAUCCCGCCAAAUCAUCUGGUGGUUUUCUAAACGGAAAGGUUGGUGGUUGCUGGGACUUUGAUUUGAAUGAUGGCCCUCUUGUCGAUGAGGUGAGUGCCGAACCAUCACAACUUGGGCGGCAUACCCAAAACAUUGUGCCAUCCCAACCAUCAAUUUCUAGCCUUCGAAUGAACAGUACAGAAAUGGGAAACUUCCCGUCCUGGUUUCCUCAAGGGAAUCCGUAUCCUGCUGUCACAAUCCAAUCUAUCUUGCAUGAUAGAGGAGAGCAGCCUUUCCCUAUAGUUGCAACUGGUGGGCCUCAACGGAUCUUGGCUUCCUCUACUGGCAGCAACCCAUUUAAUCCUGAUGUCUACAGGGGAGCAGUGUUGUCGUCCUCUCCAGCAGUGCCAUUUCCAUCUACUCCUUUUCAGUAUCCUGUCUUUCCUUUUGGGACCAGCUUCCCUCUUCCCUCAGCUACAUUUUCAGGUGGUUCAGCAUCGUAUGUGGAUUCAUCAUCUGGUGGGAGGCUUUGCUUUCCCACAGUACCUUCUCAAGUAGUAGCGCAAGUUGGUGUGGUCUCAUCCCAUUAUCCAAGGCCUUAUGCUGUUAACCUCCCAGACAGUAACAAUAAUGGUGCUGUGGAGAGCAGUAGGAAAUGGGUAAGGCAGGGUCUAGAUCUCAAUGCCGGGCCUCUAGGUGCAGAUAUUGAAGGUAGAAAUGAGACCUCAGCUCUUGCAUCGAGGCAGCUGUCUGUUGCCAGUUCACAAGCCCAUGCAGAGGAGCUAUCGAGGAUGUAUCAGGCGACUAGUGGAGGUUUUCUUAAGAGGAAGGAACCAGAGGGUGGAUGGGAUGGUUAUAAGCAAUCCUCCUGGCAGAAGGGAUGAAUAAUGACACAAUGCAGUGAUCCACCUGUAAGUUUUUGUCAUGUUCUGUAAAUAUAUGUGCUCUUUGUGUUUCAUGAUUUGAAGCUGUGCUAUAGCCUUUUCUUUUCUGAUCAAGUGGAGGGGGAAAUGUUUUUUCUAACUUGCAUUCUUUUGGGCAUGAGUUGCACUUAGGUUCCUGUUCACAGGUCAAGUAAUUGUGUUUAUAUUUUCGUUGUGUUUUCAAUUACAGUUCUCCUGGUUGGAUGUUGGCUAACUCCAAAAGAUCGUCUAACUUGUGAUCUCAAGGAUGGGUGGUAAGUGAGUUAUUUAAUGUUCAAUCUCCAACCAUAAGUGAGUUAUUUAAUGUUCAAUCUCCAACCACCACCCUGUCGCUGUACCGUUGUAACUUAAAAAAGGAAUCUUUCCAGGGUCAUUAAGUGUUAUAUUCUUGAAUUUGUACUGGGUGGCUCAGUUCACCGUCCCCUUUGUAGAUAUUUUAACCAAUGGAAAACUUGCAUUCUGUGACCGUGUUGCCCAGACAUUUGAAAUUGGUGUCCAUAUGUCUAUCGGAUCGACAAUUUAUACUGCUGGAUGCAAAAUCAUCCUUUUCCAACCAUUCUGAGAAUUAGGAGCCCUUUGUAUGUGCUCUGUUGUUAAGCAAUCUUUCUUCAUUUAUCUUUUCAUUUUCUCUUUUAAAGACGUACAUGUAAGCAGAUUGGUUCAUGAAUUUUGGUGCUCAAGCCUUUCUUGCUCUGGCAUAUGGUUUAGUUGGAUGCUGUAUUCCUUUUAAUUUAUUCUAUUUUUGAACCUGGUGUAGAUUAUUUGCUACACACCGAGUUCUACCCAACUUUGCUACUACCUUCGCAUAAUGGUGUCUGAACUCUAAACUAAUAUGGGUUUGUUUGUGACAUUUUCCCAUUUGUGGCCCAUAUUUGUUCAAAAAUAUUGCUCCUGCUAUCAUGUUUGAAAAUUGGCCUUUGUGCCAUCAGUUCUUGGUGUUGGAUUGUGUCUUUAAGGAUAAGAGGUAGCUGUUAACAGUUCAAUUUUUCUGUGUCAUGUAAGUUUGGUUGAAGCUUUGCGAGGAUGGUUCAUUAUGGAAAUUGUAUUUGUAUUUUUGUUCAGGUUUCAAUUUUGAGGACGGAGAUUCAAAUUAAAACUUUUGAACCACUAUAAUCGGAGAAAUCUGAUCCAGAGUUGGAAUGCAUCUCGAAAAUCUUCAAGGUCAAGGGUUGUCCCCGUGUUGCAGGUUCAUGUUUUUGGAGGCGUUAGGUGAUAAGAAUGGGCAUGGUGUUGCGCAUUAAAGCCUAAAUCAUUUCAAACUAUCUUUAUCUUGGUUCUAUAGCUUGUGUUUUUGGUCUACCCAAUCUUAUAGCAAUUGCAUAUUAAUAAAUCCAACUGCUUUGAUGGCGUGCUGAUGCUCAAGUAUCAGGCAACGUUGCAACCCCAAAAUUUGGGGCUGUUGCUUCCAUAAAGACUGGCUAUGGGUGGGACGCUCUCCCCUUUUCUUUCCUUCCCGUGGUUGCAUAACCCUUACCCUGAAUCAAGUUCCAACAAAAUACCAUUGGCUACGGGUGGGAUGAUCUCUCCACACAUUCUAUCUCAAUACACCUAUUAAAACCCUUAUAUUGCACGAUGAACCAAUAAUCUCCAUGAGAUUUUGUUCUUGUUGUCUCUUCCAUAUUACGUAUCAAUACACCUAUUUGAACCUUUGCACGAUGAAUAAAUAUUAAAUCUAUGACUUUUGUGUCUCCCUCUCUUUUUGUCAAUCUGUUUACACAAGGUAGAUAACAAAGAUUUUUCAUUGCAAAAUGGGAAAAGAGAGCUUAAAAUUGAUCAUGAAUAAGAAGAAUUGACUGAGGUGAAAGAGUAUCAACUAAAAAAGUGGAAUAGAAGGAGCAGUUAACUAGUCCACCAAGAGACUAAAAGUCACAAUCGCUCAAAAGGAACUGAUCAACCAAUGAAGUAUGGAUGUCUGCAUAACCAAGCAUAUAUAGUCCUAUUUAAAAUGCGAGUCCUCAACAUAAUGAUUAAUAAGAAGCCAGAGAUUAUGCUAGAAAUCAUAUAUAUCUGUUUUUUUAACAAAAUAAAUAACAAUCACAACACAAGCAUCAACUAGAAUCACUUCCCCGACAACGAUACCAAAAUUUAUUGCAAUGUCGCAGUCACACAAAUUAAUUACCCUAACUUAAACAAACAAGAUAGUAUAGAGCAAGUAAGGGGUUGAUUCCACGAAGAAGAUCUAGUUCAGGUCUUUAUACUAGAUUAUUCAAAGUUGGGGGGUUUUGAGGUUAUCUAGGCUAUGUUAUGGUAAACAGAACGAACUAAUCAAGCUAAAUUAAAUAAAGUAAACAUCCACCUAUAAAAAUCAAAAUUGAUCACUGAAACGAUACGCCAAUUUAUAUUCUGAAUAUCUAUCUUUCCUUAACAUUAGUUAGUUAACCGAUCUGCAGUGUAACUAACGUUAACCAUUAAACAACCACAAUGUCCGCACUAAUAAUUUAAUUCAAUGGCAGCCUUAAGAACUAGAUAGUAGAUAGGUUGAUAAAUCUAGACAACUUAACCGUAUGUAAUUUAUGUUCGAUUGAAUUGAACGUUUUUCCUAAGAUUAAAACUCCGGUUUUGAUUAUUAAGCUUAAUCGCUUCACAAGUUCAAAUAUCAUAACUCUGGUCUUGAUAGCAAACUUAGCAGUAGAUUGGUUUAGAAUAAUAAUUUACAGUCUGCUCUAACAAUCAAACUAAACAAUUAUAAAAAAUAAACAUAGAAAAACAUUCAUACUCAUCAUAUAAAUUGAAAAGAAAAAAUAUAAUAGAUCUUAUAGUUUUUGAAAUCCGAAGGUUUCUAUAUCCUUUCAACCAAGAAAAAUAACUUGCCUUGCAUUUCUAUUGAAAAACUAAUGAAUAGAACAGAUGGGAGCAUAAUUUUGGGUAUAAGAGAAAAGGGUGGAGUUUUUCUUUUUCUUUCUGGCCGCCCCCUCUCUUUCUUUCUCUCUUUCUUUUUUAUUUGAUAGGAAACCCUAAUCCCCACAUCCCUCAAAUUCAUUUGUAUUCUCCUAAAAAAUAUAAAAAUAGUCAUUUCCAAAGUAAACAAUCUACAUUUAAGUAAGUUGGAUUUAUUUCUUCACAAAACCUGUUUGUUGGUAGAAUUUAAAAGUUGUCUUAGAAAAAUCACAUAUUUCUCAUAUGAGCUCCUUUUCUUCUGAAAUUUGGUAGGAUGAUAGGUCUUUGAGUCAGGAAUCUAAAAAAAUUGAGUUUGCAUCAAAUGAACUUCUUUAACUCAAGAUAUUCAAGUUGGAAUGACCGAAUGUCAAAAUUGGCAAAAUAUGAGACUUGUCUUUGAAGGAUGCGAUUUCCAUCCUCUUUAUUUUUUUUUUAUUUUUCUUUCCAUAUAUUUAUAGAAAGGUAUGGAUGUUAGCUUUCUAAUUCCACUGGAAUCACUUCAUUUCAACCUCUACAACUCAAAUUCUGCAUAAAACAUCGAUCAGAUGUCAAAUCUGCCAAUAUUCGACACGGGUUGGAAUAUGGUUUGAAUUUUAUCUUCAAUUUACUUCUUUUCGAAUCUCACAUCCAAAAGUACCUUCAAAAUAUAAAACAAAGAUUAUCAAGACAUUUUAUAUAUAAAACAUGAACAAAUACUAGGUAAAUAUGAGUAAGACUAUAGAAUAAUAUGAUUGCAUCAAUAGGGUUAGAAUUACUUAUGUAAGUAGGAUCCAAAGUUUUUAAUAAUAUAAAUAGAGCCAGAUACUAUUUUAAAUGAUGAUUAACCCUAUAUAUUCAAAAUUUUGAAAUUCUAACAGUUUUUUUUUCUUGGAUGGUUUUAUCACCUUUAUUGUUUUUCUUAAUGCUUUGUUAUUUUUCAACACUUAAAUUUCCUUCAUUCUUUUUUAUAACUCGUGUUUUCUUUGCACAUCGAAGUUUUAAGUACAUAUUACCUUUACUGAGUGUCCAAGGUCUAGAAUCCUCACUUUGCUUGGUUAGAGGUAGUUGUUGCCUCGUCGAAGAUUCAAUUCUAAGUAUAGUUAAUUGAUAACAUAAAAGAUUGGCAUGACUAAUAGGAUAAAAAUUCAAAAUAUAUUCUAGAAGCCAUUAAAACACGCUUCUAAAAAAGUAUAGGUAAACUCAUCUCUAUUGCUCGAAAUGAAUAGUUUGCACAAGCAACGGAGACAUGCUAGCCUUUUAACUGUGAAGAGCCUAAAAACCUACUAUUUCUUUAGAUUUUAGAGAAUCAACCAGUGACAGACGUGCCCAAAGAUGGGUCUUUAUUGUCUAACUCACCAUUAUAACACAAAAUUACAUCUAAACACACUUCUAGUGUCUUUAUGUAGUCCUUUACGUUUAUUGAUUCUAAUAGGGUCAUCACCACUAAUCUUAGAUGACUAUAUUGAUAAAUCAAUACCCAAUACGUAACCAUACAUACAUAUAUUAAGUAUAUCAAAUUGUGUGCUAUGAUGAAUUGAUGAUCACAACUAGUUGUGGUAAAUUCCAGUCAACCAACAAGGUUGCUUAUGAAAAUAUUGUAACACCCCGCCAAAAAGAGGAUAUUAAAACAUGAAAUUUUACAGCAAUUUUACACAUUUCCAUUGAAUAUAAGCCUUUAUUAUGACAAUUUGUUUUUUUACACUUAUACAUGUAGUCAUUCUCCUUUAUUUAUUAACAAUUUUACUAAAAGUUUUACAGAGUUUCCUCUAUAUUUUAACAUACCAAGUUAUCAACUACUCCUUCCAUGUUACAAGUCAUUAUUACAAACAUGGUUCAAUUGUCCUAGACCUUAUUUCACAUCAUUUUAACCAAAAAUCAACCCCAUAUAUUCUUUCAACCCUUACUAUAUCUUGUACCAUUCAGUAAUUACAUCAUGUUAAUCCCAUAAAAAAUUAAUUAUAAAUAAAAUCUAAAAGAUUAAUAAAUCCAGUCUCAUACGCUUAUAUUUUGAAUUAUAAAAAAAAAGGUACAGUCUAACCACAUGUUUUAAACUUUUCUUCCAUGAACGUAUAUAUUAUGCUUACCUUACUCAAUCUCUAAUUAAUCCAUUUACUACUUAUGCGUACCUUUUAUUUUUGUUUGUUUAUUUUUUAUAUGAAUUAAAAUUAAUGUCCAACAUACAACGUGGUUAUAUUAUUGAUGCAUGCUAUGGAAAAAUCAUGUAAGGAUAUACACCAACUUGCAUAAUAAUAUUUUAUAUAUGGAUUUCAUACACAAUUCCAAACAUAGAUAGAAAAUAUCAUUAAAGAAGAAGGGAGAGUAAGAGAGAGCUUUUAGUUAGGUCCACAAAAUUAUUUACAUGUACAAUAUAAGUUCUGAAUCUAAAGGCCAACUAUAACCUAACAAUUAGGUUCGCCGAUACGAAAAGGUCUUGUAACAAAAAUUUAUUAAGAAUAAGUUCGUAUUAUAAUAUAAUUUGUCUUCUAAACAUAUAUGAAAGUGGGAGCACCAAUUCUUAUUAUCCAACCCUAUAGAAAGUUUCAUGAACAAUAGUUAUAAAUUUCACAAUAAUAACACACAAAGAUAUUUGUACUCGACAUGAGUAAGGUCUUACUCUCAAGUUCAAGUCAAUUAGUGUACUUCGAUUUACAUAGUUAUCAAAUAUUUCAUAACGACUUAUUAUUGACCUUUGAUUUAUCAAAAACAACUCAAUUUACCAUAAUUCUCAAAAUAGCUUAGGCAAUAACAUAACAUUGGCCUUCGUGUUUGUAAAAGUAACCAAAACAUAUUUAGUCUUUGAGAAAUUUUAGAGACUUUACAACAUUAGUUUUUGUCUCAGCAAAAGCAACUCAAUCACAUUGAUUUCCGUACAACUUUCAAAAACAAUUUCAACAUUGGCUUUUGUAUUUAAGAAGGAAAUCUAAUCACAUUGGUUUCCAAACAACUUCAUAAACAAUCACAACAUUGGCUUUCAUCUUGGCGAAAGCAACCCAAUCACAUUAGUUUCCAAACAACUUUGAAAACAAUCACAAUAUUAUCUUUCAUCUUGGUGAAAGCAACUCAAUUACAUUGGUUUUCAAAUAACUUCGAAAAUAAUCAUAACAUUGGUUUUUAUCUUAGUGAAAGUAGUCUAAUCGUAUUUUUAUUUCACGUAACUAUUUACAAUUCAUUUGGAUUCAUUUCAUACAUAGCAUUUAUAGUUACAACAAAAAACUUAAUUGACAUCAUAAAAUUAUAGGUAAGACUCUACAUACCUUCUCCUCCAGUCGAGUGAGCUCCAUCAACAGAAGAUCUUAUCCCCUUUGAACCAUACAAAUACUUUCUAUUAAUACAUUAUUUACAAUCCAAAUACUCAUUGUUCGUAUAAAAAAUAAUUCUUUUAAUUUCAUACUUAGACUCACUAUGUUUAACAAUUUAUAACAAGGUAUCAGAAAACUGUUUAUUUACUCCUCACCAGAGUUGUUGAACUCAAUUUUAAACGAGGUCUUUUUUUUUAGUAUGCUAAGACACAAAUACACAACUUUGGUGAAAAUGGUUAAACCUAAUUUUGCCAUUUACACACUUAAACUCAUUGAAAUACAAUGGUAUAUCAAUCUGCCCUAUAAGAUACAACCUUACUUUUCUCUAGUGUUCUAUCCAUAUUUGGAGUUAUAUAACUUUAAAUAGGGUAAGAUUUGUUUCAUGCGGAAUCUAACAUCACUAACCACAUUUUCCAUGAAGACAUUCACCUCAAAUUUUCUCAUUUGUGAAUCUCAAUUUCAGUUUAAAGUUUGACAUUAAUUUUGUCCAAUAGCUUCCAAUCUGACCUGUCUUCACUCAAACCUCCCUGACACUCUCAAGAAUUGAUUUGCAUGUGUUUCUCUCUACAAUAUCUUUGAGAGAUAAGUGAUAGAGAAGAAAAUGGCUCCCCCUCUUUUUUCUUUUGUUUUCUGUCGUCAAACUCUUGUUCUUCCUAGGUAUGACGGGUUUUCUCUUUUUUUUUGUCCCUCACUUAUUCAUGUCUUUUUAAUUUAGUCCCUAAUUCUUUAUGUUUCUCACACUAGGCCCUACUCUCAUCUUUAUACAUUUUAUCCUUCUCUUUUUACUUAUGUUUACCUUUAGACUUUAAGUUAAGAAUUUUGUGCCUCACUAAUGACCUCUUCUUCAAUUAAUUAAAUUCAUUCAUUCAUUUUCUAGGGGCUUGCAAAGACAAUCUUAUUAUCAACAUAUAAAUCUCUCUAAUGUUGAUAUGAGAGCUUUCUAAAUAGAUAUGGGGAAAACAAUUAUCAUAACCUGUCACAACAACAUAGUGGUGGUAAACCGAAUCAUGCAUGCAUAUCUUAUUAGUUGAAUAAGUUACAAAAUGAACUUUAUUAGAAAAUACCUUAUAACAUAAGUAUACACUUCUAAAAGGAAAAUCCGGGAUUCUAUAAUAACGAGCACUCUAUUAAGGGUGUAUGGAUUGAGUAUACCUCUUAUAAAAAGGUAUUUUUUAGCAUAUCAAGCACAAUAAAAGAUGUAGCUUAUCCCUAGCAUGAUAACUCUUGAUAAGCCAAUUUUUUCUCAAGCUUACAAACAACCAUAAGCCAACUACUUAGCCCUGCAUAGCUUCUAUCAAAUAGCAUAACUUGUUACUAGGCAAUUCUAUACCCAAUAACCUGUUUUACAAUAAGGAAACCUCAAUCUUCUAGCACAACAAUUCCCUUCUACAUAUCAGUAAUAGAGAAGAGAGAUAAAUAGAGCAUAACUAAAUCAACAUUUAAAAGAGAUAGGACUGAAAGUAAGAUGAACAAUAAGAUUUGUUUGCAAUUAUUUAUACUCUAAAUGGGUUGAUAGAUUGUACGUGAUCACUAGAGAAAUAAAAAUUAUUGAUUUCAAAUAUUUUUUUCUAAAAGGAUAAACAAUCAAUAAGGAAGCACAUCACUAAUUUACUAAUCAAUAUAGUGAUAAUACAGUCAACCCUUUCAAGAAGCUAAGGUCAUUUGGUUUAUCAGUAACCAAAAUAGCUUUUCACUAAUACUCCACAUUGCCACCCAACUCGAUCAACAGUUAGAAAGAGAUGAAACUCGUUUUCAUGAACACUUUUAUAUAAUAAUAUAAGAGAUUACAUUAUAUGACUUGGUUAAAAUAGUAUAGGACCUAAAAGAGGUAAUAGAAAACUAUGUCUUACAAUUUAAGAUAUUGAAAACUAAAUUCACUAUAGUUAUAUUUAAGUAAAAGUACAUGAAGUUAUUGCUAGUGAGAAUGUAGUUAAACAUAAGGAAAAGUUUUGUAGGAACCAAAUAUUUAGACAUAUAUACCCUCACAAAUAAUAUUGCCCAUUAUGAGAAAAUGCUAGUAAAAUAGGUAAAAGAGAAACCACAAAGGGGGACUUACUUUAUUGGUUAUUUAUACAAUGUCGUAAAUGUUUAUUCACUAAUUAAUUUAGAUUCUAAUAAAGAAUUUAAGGAGGUUUAAUAGCAACUCAUAUCAGUCACUAAAAUAAAAUAUGAAAGACCAUUUAAGAUCACAAUAUUAAAAAAAAAAAUCUAAAAAGGCUCCCAAACCUGGUAACAAAAAAGUCAAAGUUUUCAAAGCAAUUAAAUAUAAUAAGCACAUUUUUAAUAUCAAAAGAGUUAAAAAGAUCUUGAUCAGUUGAUGUGUGGGUGAACAUUAAGCUCUUUAGCAAUCACAUAACCUUUAUCAUUAAUCAAAUCAAGAGGAAAUAAUAUUAUAAAUGGCAUGACUUUUAGAAAUACGACACUAAUAGUUAUGUAGUAUUUAGAAAUUAAGCUUUAGAAUUUGAAUGCAAUCAUGUUCUAAAAAAAGAUGAUAAAAGUGGAUGAUGAUCUAUUCCUUAAAGUCAAUAUAAUAUUUGUUAUCUCAAAUCAUAAUGGGCUUAUUAGAAAGGAAGAGCCUCAAAAGAAAAGGGUUGAUUGGUCAUGACAAACGAUGAAGUAAGUCACAAAUCCUAGGAUUGGGAAAAAAUAUAUAGAUGAUGGAAAAUCCAAAUGGGUGGUUUGACAAGCCCAAUAUAUGCUUUAUAAUGAGGUAUAUAGAUGUCUUACCUAUCUUAUAAUUCUCUUAAAGGGUGCAAACUUGAGGAUAAUGUUAAGCAAGUAAUGUCUUUAUAACAUGCCAAGUCAUUUAGACCUAAGAGACCAGCUGACAAUAAUUGGCAUAAACGUCAACCAUAAUAAAAGUCAUUUAAACCUAGUAAUAACAUGAAAAGGAAAAAUCAUAGUUGAGUAUGUUAGGCUUGCCAUGACAACAACAAAAAAAAAGCAAAAUAAACACAUUUUAAGGACCCCAAUAAAAAGGUAAUAUUAAGGAUGUUGUACAAAAUAAAAUCAGAAAAAAUGAUGAGAAAACUAAAUAUGCAAUCUAUAAAGCAUGUAACGUAUAAUGUACAAUAAAUAAAAAAUUAUAUCAUGCAACUAACUCGCUAUUACAAAAUUCAAUGCCCUCAACCCAACAAAAAAAUGUAAACACGAAAAAAAAAACCACAUGCAAUAGGCACACUAUAAAAUGAAGAAACUAAUCAUGAAAGCAAAUAACUUUAACACUACUACCCCUAAAAAACAAAGAUAUAAAAAUGACAAUUCACAUAAAAAUAAAAUCCUAAAAACUACUUUUUUAAACCACAAAGAUAGAAAGAAAAAAAAACCUUAUUAGAAAGCUAAACGACAUGCCUAGAAAGAUGAAAGAAGAAAGAACAAUAAACAUUGAGAAAUAAUAAGUCAGAUAACCACCUCUUUAUGAACAACCUUAUUAAACCAAAGGAAAAGAUUCUAAAGCAUUACAAAUACAUGCCAAGACUCAUCAAGAAAGAAAUCAAAGUUUAAAUGUGUAAGAUAGACAGAAACACACAAUGAAAAAAACAUAUUUAACUUAUUAAUGUAGUUGUGUACCCUUAAAAUAACAAUCUUACAACUUACUAAAAAAAUGGUAGAGAUUUUAAAUCUUAUUAAGGUAGUGAUUUUUAAAAGAUAAAACUAGAAAAUGACAGCCCCUAUUUAAAAGCAAGAAUACCAAAAAUAAAGGUUGAAAAUGGAUGUAAACACAAAUAAACAAACAUUCACAAAAGAAAAAGGAUUUUAAAUGUAAAAUAGAAUAAUUCAUAAAAAAAAUUGCAUGAUCGACCAACAAACCAGUGUAGGAUUAUUAAGAAUCAUAAAAUAACCAACCAACUGAACAAACACAAAUCUCAAAGGCUAUUAUUCAAACAAAAACCUCUAUAAAAAAAUUUAGCCACACCCCCACCCCUACCUUAAACACCUUUAGACAUGUUGAAUCUUUAAAAAAUAAACAACCCACCCAUGACCUAGAAGCUAAUAAUAUGAAGCAAACAAAAAUAAAAAAUAGAAAGAAAACAAAGCCACAAAAUCUUUAAGAGCAAAUAAAGAGCACUGAAAUAUGCAUCCAAAAAACAAAAAAUCAAUGUCAUAACAAAGAAAAGAACAUCAAAAAGAAAACAUCCAAUAGGCCUUCAAACAACAAACAAUGAAUUUAACACACAAUUGAACUAAAAAGAUAUAAGGGGAAAAUAAACAUAGCCAACGAUAAAACAAACAACAUACAUACUCAAUAACCAAUGAGAAAGAAUUAAAAGAGACUUACAUUGCACAUCAUAACCCUGGUCCUAAAGAAUAAUAGCCUUGCAUAAAAAAAAAAAGAAACAGAACAAGCUCCGAAACAAAAGAACUAAUACAAAACUUGCCAAGUAAGGAAAGGGGAAAAAUUUUCAGGGAAGACAAUAUAGCACCAACAAUAAAACCAAGUAACAAAUAACAUGAAGAGGAUAAAUCACAAACAUCAUAGCUAUGAGUAAGCACUCACAAAAUAAAAAGACAAACACAUUUCUUCCCUUAUAUAUAAAAAAAAAGUUUAAUCCCUUAAAACUAAGCAUUCUAAUCAACCUAUGCAAAGAAACUUUAAAAGAAAAAAUCAAACCAAUCACCCCAAAAAUCAACAAACACCCAUUAAAAUCAAACAAAAAAAAGCUUGGAUAAUGACCUAAAAAAACUUUCUUGCUUUGAUUUUAUGGUUGUGUUUGUGUGUAUGUGUGUGUGUGUGAGAGAGUGAGAGAGCGAGAGAGAGAGAGAGAGAGAGAGAGAGUCUGAGAUGAUAAGGGAGUAGACUCUGUUGUUGUGAUAAAGAUUGUUGGUAAAAGAGAGACCACAUCAUUGGUUUAAAGAGGAAAGAUGAAUAGAUGAAAGAAAGAAGAAAAGUUUAGUACAGUGACUAUUAGGAAAAAGUGAAAGAGUAGAAAAAAGAGGAAAAGAUUAUAGUGGUCAUUUGGCCACGUCUCCCUAGAACAAUUAAAGAGGAAAGCAAUACAAAUCCAUUAUCCUUUCUCUCUAUGUAUACAAUGAAAUCAAAAUAAAAUUUAGUUUUCUUUGUAAUUGUAAUUGUAAUUGUAAUAAUUAUAAUAUAAUUAUAAUUAUAAAUUAUAAUGUUAAUCAAUUUAUCUAAAAAAGGGUGUGUCAUCAUAUUAUAUGAACACAUGAAAACACAUUUCCACGUGUUAUCGUGUUAGAAAUAUCAAAUUCUAAAAAAGGUACAAGAAAAAUGAUCUUUUAUGUAUUAAUUCUUAUAUGAAAUAAUUUUCUUUAUAUUUGAUUAAGGAGAGAUUUUGUUGUAAUGAGUGAAAGUUGAUUGGAGAAUAUCUUUUUGUUAAGACUCAUUAUCAUGAUAGAUUUAGAAAUUGGUAAAUAAUGAAGUCAUAUAUAUGUUGAAAAUAUAUUAAGAUAAAACUAGAUGUAUGUUUGGCAAUAUGAUGCAUGUGUUUUUGUAAAAAUGCAUUUUUAAAUGAAAAUCAACUAAUUUCAUACUUUUGUUUAGAAAAUUUUAGGGUUUCAGUCUUUUUCAUUUUAAAAUAAUCAAAAUACAAAACAAAAUUUAAUAUUUUUUUAUUUGAAACACACUUUUAGAAAACAAACUAGAUUGGUGGGUUGUACUACAUCGCGAGUAGGACCAAACUUUUCCUAACAUAAAAAAAAAUGAUGCUUAACGAUGCUAAUGGUUUUAAAGAAGUAAGAAAAAUCCAAGACUUGAAUGAUUGACUUGAAUAGUUUCAAUAAGCUUAGUUAAUUUAAUAAUAUAAUUAUAUAUAUAAAAAAUUAAAAAAAAAAAAACAACGCGACUCCUCCCGAGUCAGCUUGCCAAAUUCAUGAUCUUGUCAUGAGAUUGGGAUAACCCUAUAAAAAAAAUUAAAUUAAGUAUAAAUCUCAAUUCUUAAAUAACUCAAUGACGAAGAGAAAUUUUUUAAAAAAAAAUUCAGUUAAAAAAAUAAAUGAAAAAAAAAACUUCAAUCAACUUGUGUUUAUUUGCUAAGUCAACAACUCAAUACAUGAGAUCGAGAUAACCUCAUAUAAGAGAAAAUAAAAAAAAAUCAUGAAGUCUAAUUCUUAACAAACUCAAUAUUGAAUGGUGAGAUUGAAAAAAAAAUCAAUUAUAAAAAAGUAUCUAAAACAGAUCAAAGUCAACUCGAGAUAAUCUUUCAAACUCAUGACUCGGAUCAUUAGAUCGGGAUUACUCCAUAGAAGACAAAACAAAAUCAUGAAGUCAACUUUUUAAUCAACAAAAUAUUGAGGAAUGAAAUUGAAGAAAAAUUGAUAAAAAAGAAUCCAAAACAAAUAGCAAUAAAAAAAAAUAGAAACUAAAUUUCACAUAAAAAUAAAAUGAAACUAAAUUCUGAGAGAUGAGUUGAUAUACAAAUCAAAUAAAAAAGGAUUCAAAACAAAUAUCAAGCAAAAAAAUGAUGAUCAAAUUUGAUAUAAUAAUCAAUUGAAACCAAAAACUAAUGGAUGAAAUUAAAAAAAAAAUCAAUAAAAUAAAAGGUUCAAAACAAAACCAAUAGAAAUUAAAAAAUUGAGGUCCAAAUUCAAUAAAAAAAAAUGACAGUAUACCUUUCAAUUUUGACAGGCUUAGCUCAAAUCAUGAGGAGAGAGAGAAAAGAGAAAAGAAAAGAAAAAAGAGCCGCUAGCACCACCACACACCAUUCUAAUAUGAAGAUCUUGAAUGCGAGAAGUACCUCCCACUAGCGCACUAGUCUAAUUUGCCCUGUCCUUUUCUUUUAAUCCCUAGCAUUUAUUUUUUCAACUUGAUCUCUCAAAUCUUAAUUAUUUUAGAUCAAUAAAAUUAUAUUUUAUUUUACAAAUUCGAGUAUCAAACACAUGUCAUAUUUUCUCUCUCAAUAUUAUGGGAUUUUCCAUAUUUAGGAAAAACAAAUUAAGUCCAAUAAACAAAAAACUCAAUGCAAAAGGAUUAAAUAAAAAAGUAAGGGAUUAAGAAAAUAAAAAAGGCUUAAUCUCUCCCCUAAUUGUGCACUUCAGUCUAUAAUAUUUACAAGAAAAAAUGGACUCAAUACUUUUUUAGUAUUCAAACUUGGCUUCGUAACUUCAAUUGUUUUGAUUCAAUUUAAUUUCUUUUAAUUAUGACAAAUAGAGCAUUCAUCGAGAAUCAAUUUUAUUUCCAGACACCGUGAGUGUUCAAUACCAAGCCAACAUAAACAAAUAACAAAGCUCAAUUCUAAAAUAAUAUAAUAUUAAAGGAUAAAGUUGAAAAAAAAAUUGGUGACCAAAAUGAAAAAAGAAUCUAAAAAAAAACAUCUUGCGAAUCUACAAUGUUAUCUCUCACAUGCUACAUUACAUUAUUGAUGCUUAUUAUAUUUUUUUUCUAUUUAAAUUUAAAUUUAAACUUAAAUUCUUAAUUUUAAUUUUAUUGUUAUUUAAAAGGGUAUUUGACACAUCCUCUGCUUUUGCUUUUAGAUGCUUUUUAAAAUUUCUUUUGGCUUGAAAAAAGAUUAAAUUAAUACUUUUAGUGUUUUUUUUAUAGUUUUUAUAUGGUGGAUUUUAGUACAUUUUUAAACAAAAAGCUAUUUUGAAAAAUAUCUUGUAUCACAAUCUCAAACACCCUUUAAAUACAUUAAUAAACGGGCCAUAAAUCAUAUCUAAAAGGCAUUGUUAUGAAACUCAACCUUGGGCAUUGGCAGAGUUUCAAAUAAGCAAAACCUGAGCUUGCAUUUGGCUAAGUUAAACUCGGGCAACUUACCUAGUCAACCCGAAACCCAUGUGACCUAGCGUAACCCGGGUGGAUCCAACUUUAUUUUUUACAUUUUUUAAAAAACCCAAAAAUAUAGAAAAUUAAUUUAUAAAUACUUAGCCUCAUGUAUUCUUUUAUAGUUUACAUCUACAUGAAUUAUUUGGCAGAGUUUCAAAUAAGCAAAACCCGAGCUUGCAAUUGGCUAAGUUAAACUCGGGCAACUUGCCUAGUCAACUCGAAACCCAUGUGACCUAGCGUAACCCGGGUGGACCCAACUUUAUUUUUUAUAUUUUUUUAAAAACCAAAAAAUAUAGAAAAUUAAUUUAUAAAUACUUAGCCUCAUGUAUUCUUUUAUAACUUACAUCCACAUGAAUUAUUUCUUAAUUUUUUGAUGUGAAUUGUUUUAUAUAUAUAUAUAUAUAUAGAAAAUUAAUAUAUAAAUACUUAGUCUCGUGAGAAAGUGAGAGAGUAUAUAUAUCCAUAUAUAAAAUAUUUUUUAAUUUUUUUUAUGUGAGAUAGCUAUAUAUAGCAUACAUUCACAUGAAUUAUUUUUUAAUUUUUUGAUAUUAGAUAAUUAUAUAUAGUUUAUAUUCAUAUGAAUUGUUUCAUAACUUUUGGGAUAACUAUUAUAUACACACACGCGCAAGCAUGCACGCACAUUGAUUCUUUCAUAAUUUUUUCUUAAGUGUUAUUAAAAUCUCAAGUAUAUUUUUUUUAAAAAAAUUUAAGUUAAUCCAGGUUAACUCAUAUGAUCCAAAACCCUGUCUCUUGGCCGGGUCAAUCCCAACCCAAAAAGAUUAGAGGGUUGAAAAGAGGCAAGACUGGACCCAUUGAGAAUUUUUGACAGGGACUUGGUCCGGGUUUAUGGUUCAGUCUAUCUACCACGUACAUCUUCCCUUUUUUGCCGUCUCCCCCACUACGAUUUCUCUUCUUCGCUCGUUCGCUCGCUCUCCUUUUCUUUCUCCAUGAUUUUCUCUCUCUAGAUUCUCGAUAUCUCUCUCUCUCUCUCAAACUCAAAACAGCAUCUCUAAUUUAACGGAUCGCAUGUAUUGAUUUGCGGAAGUAAUUGAUUGUUGUCAAAUUAGGGUUUGAAUUGCAUUUAGAAAUGGUCUACGGAAGCUAGGGUUUUUUAGUUUUUCAAUUAUUUUUGGUCUUGGGUGGAUCUAGGGUUUUCGAAUUGGUGAAUUAAUUGAGGGGGAAAGUGUGAGUUAGGGUUAAGGGUUGAUGGUACUCGAAAGGAAAAAUGCAAGGCUAUGCUGCAUGGGCGGGAAGCUGAGGAGGAGAGGAAAAAGGAUCAUAUUCGGCACAUGUGGACUGCUCCCACUCGUGUUAACAACAAUUCAGUUGUAGCUGCUCCUGAUUUCGUCCCUUCUCCUCCUUCUUCUUCUUCGUUAUCUUCAGCUGAUUCUUUUUACAAGGUACUCCUUUUCUUUUGGGAUUUUUUUUGUGUUUUUUUGGGUCAUUGUUUCGAUUAUGAGAGGUAUUGGAUUGUAAUUCAUCGUACUUCUGUGUUAUUUGGAUUUGAAUGAUGGGAAAUGGGGCAAUCACUGAUUUGAUUGAUAAAAGAUGGAGAGGUUAUUUGUUUGAUAUAGGAAUUAAAGGAGCUGGCUCAGAUUUUCUUUGAUUUUUGUUAGCGUGGGAAUUCUACAAUUCAGUUAGUAUUGUGUUCGUUAUUGCAAUUCUCAGUUGGAUUUUGGGAAAUAUGACAACAAAUUAAUUUUUGUAUUGCUACAUGAUAUUGUUGCUUAAAUUCAGUUUGGAGGCAAUUUUUUCUUGUAUUUGUGAAAUUUUUUAGCAGUAGGUUUUAAGUUUAAUUUCCACUUUUGUUUUUCUUUCUUAUGACUGUUGACGGAACACUCUGCUUUGUUCCUUUUAGCUGUGCGAAGUGUAAAUUUGAAUGACUUAUCUCUCCUCAUAAUUACAUCUUAGCACAAUCAUAUGCAUUGAGGCAUUUGUAUGUAAUUUCUUUUACUGAUGAUGGCCUGGCUUAGAUUUAUUGAUAAGUGCUUAAUCAAGUAUCUAAUGAAUGAAAAUGAGAUAAGAGGACUCAUAAGCUGUGAUUUUUCAUCCAUGAAGUUCAUAAUGGUAAUUAUCUAGUGGUUUGAUGAUGGAUCUUUAUUAUGAUAUUAAUGGCCAGUUAAUGAUAUUCCAUUCAGCAAUCAUCUAUGCUAUCAAAAUGCAGGCUACAUUUUCUACUUUAGCAGAACAUUUGUUGAUGUAAUUGGUAUAAAGAUGCAUUUGUAAUAAGUUACCUAAAGUGCCCUAUGUUUUAUUUUUUUCCUUUAACAGGAUGGACGCAAGGUCAGUGUUGGAGACUCUGCUCUGUUCAAACCACCCCAGGACUCCCCUCCUUUCAUUGGAAUAAUCCAAAGGCUGACUACUGAUAAAGAGAACAAGUUAAAGUUAGGUGUGAAUUGGCUUUAUCGACCUGCUGACAUAAAGCUUGGCAAAGGCAUCCUACUGGAAGCUGCGCCAAACGAAGUAUUCUUUUCCUUUCACAAGGAUGAAAUUCCUGCUGCAUCACUACUCCAUCCGUGUAAAGUUGCCUUCCUUCCGAAAGGUGUUGAACUUCCAUCAGGGAUUUGCUCAUUUGUGUGCCGGCGAGUUUAUGACAUUACAAACAAGUGUUUAUGGUGGCUAACUGAUCAGGAUUAUAUUAAUGUGAGUUGUAGCUGCCCUUCAAGAAUUUGCUUUGAAUUUACAAUUCCAUUUGAUGGUUAACUCUUCUUUACACAGGAACGACAAGAAGUAGUGGAUCAGCUAUUAUCUAAGACACGUUUAGAAAUGCAUGCAACAGUUCAACCAGAUGGAUGUUCUCCGAAGACAAUGAAUGGUCCAACUUCAACAUCACAGGUAAAACCUAGUUCUGAUAGUGUACAGAAUAAUGCUGCCUCCUUUCCUUCACAAUCUAAGGGCAAGAAAAGGGAGCGUGGAGAUCAGGGGUCUGAGCCCAUUAAACGAGAACGUUUUUCUAAAAUGGAUGAUGUGGAUUCUGUUCAUAGACCAGAAAGCAUUUGGAAAUCUGAGAUUUCUAAAUUUACAGAGAAGGGGGGACUUGUGGAUUCUGAAGGGGUUGAGAAAUUGGUGCAUCUCAUGCUACCUGAGAGGAACGAGAGGAAAGUAGAUUUGGUUGGCCGGUCAAUGCUAGCUGGUGUGAUAGCAGCCACAGAUAAGUUUGAUUGCUUAAAUCGGUUUGUGCAGCUGAGGGGCUUGCCUGUAUUUGAUGAAUGGCUACAGGAGGUGCAUAAAGGGAAGAUUGGUGAUGGUAGUAGCCCCAAGGAUAGUGAUAGAUCUGUUGAGGAUUUUUUAUUAGUUUUGCUUCAUGCACUGGAUAAACUCCCUAUAAAUCUUCAUGCUCUGCAAAUGUGUAAUAUUGGCAAAUCUGUGAAUCAUUUGCGGACACAUAAGAAUUUGGAAAUACAGAAGAAAGCAAGGAGUUUAGUUGACAUGUGGAAGAAACGGGUUGAGGCUGAAAUGGAUGCAAAUGCAAAGUUUAGUUCUAACCAAGGUGUCACCUGGUCUACUAGAUCGCGCAUUCCUGAAGUUUCGCAGGUUGGGAAUAGACCAUCUGGUGUAUCCUCAGAGAUUGCAAUGAAGAGCUCAGUUGUGCAACUCUCUGCUUCGAAAAGUGGUCCAGUCAAGCUUGUCCAGGGGGAGACUGUGACCAAGUCUGCAUCAUCUCCAGGCCCCAUAAAAUCAACAGCAUCACCUGGCACAGUUGGUAAUAAUUUGAAAGAUGGACAGCUCAGAAAUAUUGGUGUCAGUGGCGCCUCAGAUCUACCUGCAUCUGCAGCAAAGGAUGAGAAAAGCAGCAGUUCCAGUCAGUCCCUCAACAAUAGUCAAUCUUGUUCUAGUGACCAUGCCAAAACUUCAGGAUUGCCGGGAAAGGAGGAUGCAAGGAGCUCUACUGCUGUUUCAAUGGCAACAAAUAAGAUCAUUGGUGGUUCUUUGCGGCAACGUAAAUCAGUUAAUGGGUUUCCAGGCCCAGCUGUAUCUGGGGUCCAAAGGGAUAGUGGGUCGAGCAGAAGUUCUCCCUUGCACAGAAAUCCAGGUUCAGAGAAAUUACAACAGUCCAGUUUGGCAUGCGAUCAGGCACUUGAUGUUCCAACGGCUGAAGGGUUCAGUCAUAAAUUCAUUGUUAAAAUUCCCACCAAAGGUCGCAGUCCUGCACAAAGUUCCAGUGGGGGAACUUUGGAAGACACUUCAGUCAUGAAUAGCAGAGAUUCUUCUCCUGUGCCUUCGGAGAGGCAUGACCAGUUUGAUCAUAAUUUGAAGGAAAAAAUUAAUUCAUAUCGAGUUAAUAUUGCAUCAGAUGUUAAGACCGAGUCGUGGCAAAGCAAUGAUUUCAAAGAGGUGCUGACUGGGUCAGAUGAGGGUGAUGGGUCGCCUGCCACUGUUCCUGAUGAAGAGCAUGGUUGUAUGGGUGAUGAUGCUAGUAAAUUAGGUGAAGUCUCAAAAGCUACACCCUCUUCAAAUGUGUAUGAACAUAAAUUUGGGAAGCUGCAUGAUGCAUCUUUCAGCUCCAUGAAUGCUUUGAUUGAAAGUUGUGCAAAAUACUCUGAUGGGAAUGCAUCUAUGUCAGUUGGUGAUGAUGUUGGUAUGAAUCUGCUUGCUAGUGUAGCUGCCGGGGAGAUGUCCAAGUCUGAUAUGGUUUCACCAACAGAUUCUCCACGGAGAAACAUGCCUAUCGAGCACCCCUGUGCACCAAGUGGUUCGAGAGCAAAAUCAUCACCACGUGAUGUUCCUGCUCAAAGCCAAGGUAAGCCUGUUGAUGAUGAAGAUGAGAAGCAGGGUAUUACUGUUGGUACUUCACUGUCCAAGAACAUAGGGGCUAAAACAGUUCUGUUUUCACAAGAAAAACACACAGGGGAGCUCAAUGGACCUCCCAAUUCUUCCCAUGUGGAUGGGAAGAAAAUUGCUGAACCAUGCCUAGAAAGCAAUGUGAAAUCAGAGGAAAUACUAUUAGCUGCUGUGUCCUCUGAAAGCAUGGCAGUGAAAACAUCAAAUUGUAGGGGCAAGGAGCUGUGGGAGAAAGAGGGUGGUGGCAGAUCAAAUUUAGAUGGCAUAUCUGAUGAAAAAGAAAAGUUGCAUGGUUCUGUCUUAAAUGAGAUCAACAAUACAGGAGUGCAAGAUGGGACUGAUGCAAUUGAUGUAUCAUCAACAAACCAUCCUGUAGAGACUGAUGGUGAGAACAAGAAAAAAAUGAAUAAAGAGCUGGAUGUUUCUGUUGGGGAUGAGCCAAAACCACCUGCUAUGUUGCAGUCUGAUUUUGCAAAAGGAACCAAUGAUGAAGUGCGCGAACCUUCUAGUUCUGGCAAGGAUGUGGUUUCUGAAAACAUGCAUGAUGUGAAGGCUGGUGAAACAGAUGGUAGGAGUCAUUCUACUGAGAAAAAUAAAAUUGAACAUGAAUGUAAUACAGCCUCAGCCACAACUGAUUAUGAAGGUGAGUGCAAGGUGGAGAGCUUGGGAGGCAUUCAGGUCAAUGAGCAAUGUAGUGCCAGACCAGCUGCUCACAAGGCAGCACCCACACUUGUUCAGGCACCAGAACUAGUAGUGUCAACAAGGUCAAAUUUGGCUGGCAUUGGAGCUGAUGAAACAGAGGAAUGUAUGUCUGCCCCUGCUGCUGCUUCUUCUUUAUCUGCUACAGGGGGAUCGGAUCUGGAAGCAAAAGUUGAAUUUGAUCUGAAUGAAGGCUUUAUUUCUGAUGAUGGGAAAUAUGGGGAGUCAGGUGAUUUGAGAACACCUGGAUGCUCUUCUGCGAUUCAGCUAAUUAGCCCUUUUCCCUUACCUGUUUCUUCUGUGUCUAGUGGGCUUCCUGCUUCCAUUACAGUAGCCGCUGCUGCAAAAGGGUCCUUUGUUCCACCAGAGGAUCUACUGAAGAGUAGACGGGAGCUUGGUUGGAAGGGAUCGGCAGCCACAAGUGCAUUUCGGCCAGCUGAACCUAGAAAAGCUUUGGAGAUUCCAUUAGUUACAGCUAAUAUCUCACUACCUGAUGCAAUGGUUUCCAAGCCUGGUCGCCCCCUGUUAGAUAUUGACUUGAAUGUUCCUGAUGAAAGAAUCCUCGAGGAUUUGGCUUCACGAAGUUCUGCUCAGGAGACAGUUUCUGUUUCUGACCUUGCAAAGAAUAAUGAUUGUGCACGUGAUGCACUGAUGGGUUCGAUACCUGUUCGAAGCUCGGGGGGACUUGAUUUUGAUUUGAAUAGAGCAGAUGAAGCUAGUGAUAUUGGUAAUCACUUAACAAGCAUUGGCCGGAGGCUGGAUGCCCCACUUCAUCCCGCCAAAUCAUCUGGUGGUUUUCUAAAUGGAAAGGUUGGUGGUUGCAGA